UUGGCAAAAAGAUGUAAGGGUAUUAUCUCAUGCUAAACUACACAAACUUAGAGUCGGGAAAUUCCGGUGAGAUUCCGGGACUGUGCCGCAGCUGUAAUGGGUAAACCCUAGUCAGAAUACCGGCUCCAAAGGUGUCUUGUAG
rnacentral:ncRNA from 2 species